rnacentral:rRNA from 1 species
GUUCGCGUUGGCCUUCCUCAUGUGAGGAGAAACGUCAGCCAGAUAUUAGGAUCUCAAGGAAAAACUUCAGCCAGAUUGUAGCGAAUUUAAACCAAAAUCGUCCCCAAAUUCAAGCAAAACACGAGGGAAUUCAUUUCGAACUCCGCGAUCUUGGAAUCAAAACCGUUCUCUGGUAGUACCACUUUUGGAUCCCUCUCCCCGCGCAUCUGCGCAAGACUCCGAUUCUUCCCCACGCUCCCCUGUCUCCUCCGCUCCGAAUUCGACACACAGCGCUGUGAUCUUCGGGUAGAUCUAGUGGGUCCCCGGAGCUGCCCCCGCGGCUCUAGAAGCAUAGCGGAGGAGGAGGCGGCGGCGGCGGCGACGGGAGAGGUAGCUGCGACAGUGGGGUUGGUGUGUUGCUGGGGGCCGCGCGAUGGCGUACCGGCCGUACCCGCCGCCUCAGGGGGCCUUCCCGCCGCAGGCCCGGCCUGUCAACCCGUACGGGCAGCCGCCGCCGCCGCAGGCAGGAUACGGCCAGAUGCCACCGCCACCGUUUCACGCGCCGCCUCCGCCCGGACCGCCCCCGCCGCACCAGCCUCAGUACAACUUCGGCCACGCGCCCCCGCAGCAGCAGCAACAGCCGCCGCCGCCGCCGCCCCAGAUGUAUUACCAGCCCCCACCGCCGCCGUAUGGCGGGAACAACAAUCAAGCGCCCCCUCCACCACCGCCAAUGUCUCCUCCCCCUUCGGCACCGCCACCACCUCCUGCCCAGCCACCCCCACGGGUGGCUCUGCCGCCACCAAAGGAGCAGCAGGCCAAGGCGGCACUGCCUAGAGUGGAGACGGAGGAGGAGCGGCGAGCAAGGAAGAAGCGCGAGUAUGAGAAGCAGAAGGCUGAGGACAGGAAGCAGCAGCAGAUGAUGCGCCAGUCGCAGGCCACCAUUCUGCAGAAGACACAGCAGGUGCGCGCUGCGCAACAGCAGCAGCAGCCACAGCCUCAGAGCCGGCACCUCCAGCCAUCAGGCGGUACUCGGGUGGCGACAACUGUGUCUCGCCCAGCCUCCGCAGCAAACACUGAGAGGUUCGAGAAUCGGCUCAAGAAGCCGACAACGUUCCUCUGCAAGCACAAGUUUAGGAAUGAACUGCCAGACCCAAGUGCUCAAUUGAAAUGGCUGCCUCUGAAUAAGGACAAGGACCGAUAUACCAAGUACAGGAUCUCGUCAUUGGAGAAAAAUUAUCUGCCUAAAAUGAUUGUCCCCGAGGAUCUCGGGAUACCUCUUGACCUACUUGAUAUGACUGUAUACAACCCUCCCGCUGCUCAGCUGCCCCUGGCUCCAGAAGAUGAAGAGCUGCUGCGUGAUGAUGAGGUUCUCACCCCUGUUAAACCAGAAGGUAUAAGGAAAAAAGAGAGGCCAACCGACAAAGGCAUGUCUUGGCUGGUCAAAACACAGUACAUUUCUCCACUUAGUACUGAUGCAGCCAAAAUGUCGAUCACUGAAAAGCAAGCAAAAGAAAGGCGAGAAUCAAGGGAGGGUCGUGAUAAUGUCCUCGAAAAUCUUAAUGAUAGACAGAAGCGGAUCAAAGCCAUUGCAGAAUCCUUCAAAGCCGCUAAAUCACGCCCUGUCCACCAGACUAAACGAGGGAUGGAACCAGAGUUUGUUCUCCCUUUGGUACCCGAUUUUGAUAGGUAUAAUGAUCCAUUUGUUAUGGUGAAUUUUGAUGGAGAUCCUACAGCUGAUUCAGAGCAGUACAACAAGCUAGAGAGAUCUGUACGUGAUGAAUGUGAAUCCCAGGCUCUGAUGAAAAGUUUUCAAGUCAGUGGUUCAGACCCUGCAAAACAAGAGAAAUUUCUGGCAUAUAUGGCUCCAUCACCCCACGAGCUUGUCAAGGACUUGGAUGAUGAAAAUGAAGACUUCCAGUACUCCUGGAUUCGGGAAUAUCACUGGGAAGUAAGGGGGGAUGACAAACAAGAUCCAACGACUUACCUUGUCUCAUUUGAUGACGAUGAUGCAAAAUAUUUGCCUCUUCCUACCAAGCUAGUAUUGCAGAAGAAGAAAGCUAAAGAGGGGAGAUCUGGGGAUGAAAUUGAGCAUUUUCCAGUGCCUUCUAGAAUUAUUGUGAGCAGGACAGCACAUGGUGAUGAGAUGGAGCACGGAGAAUCAUCCAGCAUGCAUGGGAAUUUAAAGCGACAAAGAUCUUCUGUUGAUGAUGAUCUUGAUGAGCAUCCGAGGCAUUCUCGUGUAGAAGAUAUGGGGCAGUAUAGUGAAGAAGACUAUUCUGAUUGAUCAAUUAGAUAUGGAAGGAUCGUCAUUUUCUUGCACCACCGAAUUUCAUGAGCACAUAUGAAUCUUUGAAGAUCUCAUAUGCAUUUGCUUUGGUGCCUCUAUAAGUAGUAAUAGGGUGCAGGGUUAAUGAAAGAACAUGCUUGAGUACAUUCGGGCAAUAGCAGAUUUUGAAGUGCAGAGUGGGCAAAGCAAGGCAGAGUGUAACUGGACCUUAAGACUGGUCUCAGAAGUGAUGAUAGAAGGUCUCAUCAUCAUGUAAAAAAGUCUCUGUAGUCUUGGGAGUGAUUCUCCACUGCUGUUUUGACGAUAUAGGCAACUGUUAUUCCCAUUUGAUUGUGUAAGUACAACAAUUUAUUUAUGUCAGGAUACUAGACAGUUGUGCUAUCGUAACUGUUUCUUUUCUGGUGGAAAUGAUAAUCAACAUAGCAAAGGUCAUGUAUCUGUGCUGCCAGGAAUGUUAAGGUGCACUUACUGAAGACCAAGAGUAGCAUUGCAAGAAGAGUAAACUGUGUUUUCAGUUUCUUUUUUGCAUGUUGUAACUGUGGUGUCCGUAGAAAAACUUGUUUUGGGGGUAUUUUUCUGCCUUCAGAAAAACAUUGUUUAUUUUUGCAAUGAUUCCUUCUCUAACUUGAGAGGAAUCGUAUUCUAAUCUACUACGGAGUGGUAUUUCUUGUAUUGUUCCAUUUAUAUGCAAAGUAAUGAAGAAGUAUCGUUGUAGAUGGAAGCACAAAUAUCAAACAACAGGUAUAUUAUUGAGAUAAUGUAGACACCACAUUUACCUGCUUAUCGUGACUAUUUUAAUUCAAGUGGUAUCAGCAGUACUUCUUGAAGUGAUCUUCAAGUGUUCUCAACUGUUGCUUGGAAUGAUGCCUUUGAGUUACCAUUGGAGAUUGGAAAGAUCCUUUGAUCAUCAACUUAUGUUGCCAGCUGGCUCAAAUUCUUAGUCACACUUGGUGGCAACCAGGUAUUAUUCUUCAUCAUGUAGUACUGUCAAAUAGCCUUUGCAAUUUUCUCUGACUUAAGUUAAUCUCUUACUGUUCAGGAAUUCAAUGGAUUUUAA